GGUCAAAGUCAUCUGAUUGAAAAGGCAUUUUCUUUGGAUGCAUGUUGGCAAUGGUUGCUGUGCAAUUUUCUCUGCCUUUCAAAUCUCUUUGAAGACGGCCUGGAACAAAUUGCUACACU